UACGUAGGCAGCAAGCGUUGUUCGGAGUUACUGGGCGUAAAGGGUGCGUAGGCGGCUUUUUAAGUUUGGUGUGAAAUCUCCCGGCUCAACUGGGAGGGUGCGCCGAAUACUAAGAGGCUAGAGUGUGGGAGAGGAAAGUGGAAUUCCUGGUGUAGCGGUGAAAUGCGUAGAUAUCAGGAGGAACACCGGUGGUGUAAACGGCUUUCUGGACCAUAACUGACGCUGAGGCACGAAAGCGUGGGUAGCAAACAGG
rnacentral:rRNA from 1 species